rnacentral:misc_RNA from 1 species
CCGAGUUUACAACUCCCAAACCCCUAUGUGAACGUUACCAAACUGUUGCCUCGGCGGGAAUUUCAUGCCCCGGGCGCGUCGCAGCCCCGGACCAAGGCGCCCGCCGGAGGACCCUACCAAGACUCUUUUGCAUGUCCCCUCGCGGACUUUCUUUAUAAUUCUGAACCAUCUCGGCGCCCCUAGCGGGCGUCUCGAAAAUGAAUCA